rnacentral:rRNA from 1 species
UAAGGUGGUUAUAGCGAUGGGGCUCACCUCUUACCAUUCCGAACAGAGAAGUUAAGCCCAUUUGCGCCGAUGAUACUACAUUCCGUGAGAAAGUAGGUCGCCGCCUUCU